rnacentral:rRNA from 1 species
UCAGAGGACCACCAGUGGCGAAGGCGUCGAACUAGAACGGAUCCGACGGUGAGGGACGAAGCCCUGGGGCGCAAACGGGAUUAGAUACCCCGGUAGUCCAGGGUGUAAACGCUGCGGGCUUGGUGUCGGAGGUCCUACGUGGGCGUCCGGUGCCGGAGAGAAAUUGUUAAGCCUGCCGCUUGGGGAGUACGGUCGCAAGACCGAAACUUAAAGGAAUUGGCGGGGGAGCACCGCAACGGGAGGAGCGUGCGGUUCAAUUGGAUUCAACGCCGGG